UUGACGGAGGCUUGGGCAGAGCGCUUUCCGUGUCCGCGAGGAUACAAACAAAAGUGUACACAAGUUUGUGUUUCUAACGUGUUUCCGGGGAUUGUUCGCAGGGUGAUCCGUGUGGGGACGUGUAUUGUGACUAGCUCAACGUUAGCUCAACGUUUUGACUUGUCGUGGACUGAGAUAGCUGCUCGUUAGCUAAGCGAGGAGCGAGGCUAACACGACGGGCUUUGCGCUGCAUCGAGCUAACACAGCUAAGGCUCGUAGCUUCGUCCGGAGCGUUUGGCCUCUGUAUGGACUGUUUUCGACCGGAAAACGGGAGCCGGCAGCCGGACGUCUCCCCGAGCUUACCGGGGACACUAGCUAGCAACAGUGGACAUCCUCAGGACCAUCGUCGUUCUUCCUGUACGGUGCCGUUUUGUUUCCAACACCAGGGUGAGGGACCGGCAACCCGCUCUGUGGACCACGCAUGUCUGAAAGAAAGUAGUAUGACCUUCAUCUAGCAAGGCACAAAUUUCCAUCCACAGAUACUGUAGAAAUUGGGAACUUGACUCAUCAACACAGGUGCAAGGUCAGAAGCUACUGACUGUGAAGAAACCAGCGAUUCCAC